UACGUAGGGGCCUAGCGUUGUCCGGAUUUAUUGGGCGUAAAGAGCUCGUAGGCGGUUUGGUAAGUCAGGUGUGAAAUCUCCACGCUCAACGUGGAGGCGCCACCUGAAACUGCCAUGACUUGAGUCCGGUAGGGGAGUGUGGAACUCCUGGUGUAGCGGUGAAAUGCGCAGAUAUCAGGAAGAACACCAGCGGCGAAGGCGGCACUCUGGGCCGGAACUGACGCUGAGGAGCGAAAGCGUGGGUAGCAAACAGG
rnacentral:rRNA from 1 species